rnacentral:sRNA from 8 species
AUAUCUCUCUGUACGGGAAGGAUGAGAAGCUUCGACUAAGGUUCGAUUCGAGCGUCAGCGAGAAAGCGU